AACUGUUUCGGUUAACAUGCUGGUGGUGUAACACGUGGAAAGGCAUGAGCUUUCGGUGGGAUUUUACACAUGGACACACAGGAGCUCCAGGAAAUCAUUUAUCCUUUCCUGAUGACCCUCCACCCAACAUUGGGCACUUCAUUAUCCAGCCCAUAGCUGGCACUCACAGUGAAAGCUACAUGUUUGAACUAAGAUGGCAGCAGGGGAGGAGGAAGAACCAGGUGUGGAAAUCUGAGGGCACAGUGUCUUAGGCGUGGUGACAACAUGUGCAAAGGCCCUGAGGUGGGACGGAGCCUGGCAUCCUGGAGGAACAAAAAGGCCUGUGUGGCUGGAGCUGUGAAAGUGAUGGGGAGGGGAGGGGCAGGGCUGGAGAAGUAGGCAGGGAGAGCAGGCAUCCAUCCCUGAAAGGAUGGUUGUUCUCCAUGUAUGUGAAUGUGUGUGUGCAUGUGCAAGAACAUGUAUGUGCUUGCUUAUGUGCAAGUACACAGCGUAACAGAUGAAAGCUGGUCUGUAAAGUGGACAAUGACAGUCAGCAUGUGCACAGUACCAAGUGCUGUCUCAUUAGGAAAAGUGCACCCGGGACAUGAAGAGACACAGCCAGGCUGGUAGGUGGCAGAACCAGGACUGAAGCCUGGGAGCUGCUCCUGCAUCUGCAUUUCCCACCCCUAGGCCAGUGGCCCCUAAACUGCAGCCUGCAUCCGCCUCGCCUGGGGAGACCCACGUGGAGCUCCAGUAAUGGGCAGGGCUGGGGAUGCACACACCUCUAAAGACCAGGAGAAGCUCCAGCUGCCACCAGCUGCCCUUGGAGAGGUGCCGCUCUCCGUGCUCCCGCUCCCACCACUGCCGUGGGAAAGCUACCGACUCGUCCUGGUCUUUGCUGUUUGCUUUGAAGACGCCGUUGGGUGUGUGCGAGCAGCACGUGGGACACUCAGUGAGGACCAGGGCCACAGGCUUGGGGUGGCCCCACCCUGGGCUCAGCGCUCCCACUGGGUUCCUGGCCUCUUGGGCUGGGGGAGGAGAGCCCGGGGAUGAUGGAGGCUCCCUGGGGGGGAAGUUACCGGUCCCCUAGGAGCGUGGCAGCACUUUUUCAUCAAAGAGUGCGGCUCUGGCUUGACACGUUCAUAUACUGGCUUGGAUUUCAAGCUAGCUUUCUAAGUUCCAGGCGCGUACUGCUGGAGGAUUUGUAUCUACUCCCUCGAUCUCCAUGGCAGGUCCCAGUCACCCAGGAGCCUCCGGGGCCUCUGUCGCUCUUGCCCUGUCUUGCCAGUGACAGCCCAGUGAUAUCAGGACUGGGUGAGGGCAGAGCUCCCCGGGCACCACCUGGCUCUUCACCUACAGCAUGCCACAGAGU